ACUCCUACGGGAGGCAGCAGUAGGGAAUAUUGGUCAAUGGGCGAAAGCCUGAACCAGCCAUGCCGCGUGUCAGAUGAAGGUCCUCUGGAUUGUAAAAUGACUUUUCUACGGGAAGAAUGAGCCGUCUGCGGACGGAAGUUGACGGUACCGUAGGAAUAAGCACCGGCUAACUACGUGCCAGCAGCCGCGGUAAUACGUAGGGGUGCAAGCGUUGUCCGGAUUUACUGGGUUUAAAGGGUACGUAGGCGGUUGUGCCAAGUCUGGGGUGAAAGUUUGCAGCUCAACUGUAAAAAUUGCCUUGGAUACUGGUCGGCUAGAGUAGUGGAGCGGUGGCUGGAAUUUAUAGUGUAGCGGUGAAAUGCUUAGAUACUAUGAGGAACACCAAUUGCGAAGGCAGGUCACUGGUCACUAACUGACGCUGAGGUACGAAAGUGUGGGGAUCAAACAGGAUUAGAUA
rnacentral:rRNA from 1 species